CCGGCGCACGGGUGAGUAACGCGUAUGCGACCUGCCCGUUGCAGGGGGGAUAAUCGGGAGAAAUCCCGUCUAAUACCGCGUAACGCCGCGGGGCUGCAUGGCCCUGCGGCCAAAGGGAGCGAUUCCGGCAACGGAUGGGCAUGCGUGACAUUAGCUAGUUGGCGGGGCAACGGCCCACCAAGGCGACGAUGUCUAGGGGUUCUGGGAGGAAGGUCCCCCACACUGGUACUGAGACACGGACCAGACUCCUACGGGAGGCAGCAG
rnacentral:rRNA from 1 species